GGCGGAAGGGGAGGCCGCGGGGCGUGCCGGCUGUUCGAACGGCGGCGCUUCGGAGAGCGUGCUCGUGCUGGCGGCACGCGGCGGGACGAGGCGCUGCUGAGCUCGGGAGCGCCCGUGGCUUUGCUGAGAAGGAUCUCCGCGUUAAAGCUUCUCGGCGUUUGUGCAGACUGGCCUCAGUUGCGCGCCACGCGUGCCCGAGCGACGGCGUGACCGAUUGUAAAAACGGGCUGAAGCAAACUUCAAAACCUUUUAAUGCCUUUUUCCCGAAAUAAGCGUUGCUUGCAACGUCUGCAAAGCUGGAGCGAUCCGCGCGCCUCUCGCGCCGCGGUAAGCGCCGCCAUUACAGCCCUGCUGCCGGAGGAACGCGGGCACAGAAAUAGGACGAGGCAGGAGGGUACGGUACUGUACGAUAACAAACUGUUAAAGCCUAAGAAAUGUCAGUUACCUCGCUUCGCUAUAAAAGUAACGCUCGAGCUGUGCUGCGGGGUAAACCACGGCUGCUGGGAGACCUACAGCAAACAGAAGUUGUGUGGCGGUGGAGCUGCGACGUGAAAGCAUGGCAGCGGUCUGCCUUCCAGUACCGAAGUUUCAAAAUAUAGCAAAAAAAACCCCAAAAAACCAACCACGAUCAAACUAUUGAAUCCAAAAUCUCUGAGGCUGGAGGACAAACGUUGAGGUGAAGCCAGAUGUUUACAUAAGCUAUGAGCCAAUCUGUUUUAAACGGAGAGGUCAAGAACUGUGAAGACGUAGGUGUGUUUAAGGCCAUUGGAAAAGUGGGCCCUGCGAGUUAACUCGAAGGUAGUCUGCAUAAAGUUCACUCAAGAUGAGUUUUGCAUGGACAAGAGGAAGGAGGAGCUUUAUCUUUAAGAUGUGACUCCGACAGUCUUAUUAAUGGAAUUCAGUAUCAAGCAGCUUCCUCGUGUUCCUUUGUACCUACAGCAGACUUGAGGUAAGGAGAAAUCUGAAGAAUACAGCACAGUUUUGCGCACUGACACUGAACAUCUGCAUCUCAGAUGAGCAUUUAUCAUGAAUGAUUCUUGCAAAGAAAUGGUAAAAAAAAAAAGUCAGCUAUGUGGCUUGGCUACUGCCAGACCUUCAAAUAAAGACCAGGAGGGUCAACACUCUUCUGAUCAUUUACCUUUUUCUGCUGGAUUACAAAGUUUUUGCCCUAUCUGCAAUUAAUCACAGGAAGUCACUGCUUUCUCAGUACUAAUUAACAUACUUUGAAUAUUUGCCUACGGUUAAAGCCAUUUCAACACCUCCCUUUCCAAAGUAAUUACUCAAAUGCCAUUUGGGGAGAGGACGGCUCGUCCAUUCUACAAUGAGAAUGUACAUGAAGGUAACCUCAAACCCAAUCAAAUAAUCUUCCUAAAACAUAAGGUACUGGGGACAUUUUGAGAAGACUUUUAAGGUCCUGAAAUUCUCUGAAAGUUACAGAGUCCCACCAGAAUAAGUCAUUAGCUACUAACCAGACAUCAGUAUCAUUCUUGCAGCUACUCUGGACAAUGUCUAGAGUCAUAAGACUUCAAUGCUUUACUGCUAUACCCUGGAAAGAAAAAUGGCAGUUAAGCCUAGAAUUAACUCCAUAGCAAAAACCAAGAUUUGUAUUAGUGGACUGUUCUUUAGAAGAGAGCCAAUGUACAUGGAGAACUACGGAGGACAAGGUUGACCUUAGGUAUGACAAGCAGCUCAUGAUUUCUGAGUUACACAGCACGUCCAGAAAGGUCUGAAGUGUCCCAGAUACAGUACGUAGAAACAUCUGGGAAAAUCUGGAGCCACCUUACAUGUGAUUCAUUCAAGAGUUUUUUUUAUUACAGACUGCAAUGCUAAAAGCUGGUUCUCAAACACAUUCUGUGUUAUCACAGCCUCGCUACAUUAGGUAAUGAAGUCCCAGCUUGGAAUAAAAACACCUCUCGUAAUAGCUGCAUAUGCCAGAAGGCAGUCAUUACUUGUCUGUUAUACUCUGAAAAGACCAAUUCAGAGAAAAAUAAAGUAAACUACCAUGAGAGCAAUUGAUGUAUUUAUACACAGGCUCAGAAGUACGAUAUUUGCCCCCCUGGCGUCCAGAAAGGGCACUACAACAAAACCAGGCCAGAACUGCUACCUAUUUCGCCUCCUUACCAUCACUUUUUGUAACUGUUCCAUGUUCAAAAGACAGAUUUUCUUUUUUCCAAAUGAAAGUGAUCUAGGAUUGCUUUUGAUCUGAAUGCAACUCAGAUCUAGAAGUAAUUCAAGCAGUGAAGGUACUUAAAAGUUCUGAAGUCCUCUCUCUCUCUCUACAGUCUUUUAAAACGUGUAGCACCACACUUGCACUGCAGUGGACCAAGCAAAGAAAACAAGCUGGACCCUUACAACCAACCACAAGGUUGACUGACAGACCCCCUGAACAGGCCAGAAAACCAGUUAAUGAAUCUAUGUGCCAUACUGUGACUCGAGGCAAUUUUUCAGUAUACUGUUUAUUAGCUGCAUGUAUUGAGAUUAAAGGAGUCAGUGCAAAUUCCCAGAUUAAACACGUAUUAAGUACUUGUUUUAUAGUAAUUAUCGUAACACAUCUCCCUCUACCAGCAUACAGUAGAACAGCUACUCUAAAGACCAUUUUCAUACACGAAAAGGCUUACAACUUUGCAUCUCAAAUAAGAGGCCUCUCAAACACCCACGUUUUUUUAAUAAAUUUAAAUUAUGCUUCAAAAAAACCUUCAGUGGAAUGUUCUGCUCAAUUCAGUGGUCUUUAAUUCAGUAUGCUGCAAGUUUACUAUCCAACUACAAUUAGCUAUUGAAUUCGCAUUUGGUGUGCAACAGAAAGGCUGAAUAGCUUAUAUUCUACCAACCAUUUCAAAAUAAGCUGAUGCACACAAAAAGAAAAAAAAAAUCACUGUUUCCUACAUCAGUUCAGCAUUAAAAGGUUUGUCUUUUAUUUUUUUUUUUUCCAGUUAAAAAAAACCAGUUGGGACUAUUAUCUCUGUAAUAGCUUCCUAAAAAAGACACAGAACAGCAACUUCUUACCGGACUGCAGGUUUUAUGUUUACACUGGUUUGGAAUGUUCCUAGGCCUUGACUACAAGUGCUGUGCUUCUAGCCAUCAGCAUUGUUACAAGGUGUUUGCUGUGUAGCAUUGUCUUCAAAAGCUUAUCACUCCUCAGUAAAAACUUGUUGUGCUCUUCACACUUAAGUUGGAAAAGUGACAUUACCACCUAUCUGUAUGGAGUUCCAGACUAUUCAGCAAUGAAGUCAAAAAAUACAAGAAGUUCUGAAAGUUCAGUUGUGAUACGAAGUAGAAAUGUCCCUCUGAGCAAACCUCAGCAAAAACAACCUUCAGUUCUGCAUAUAACAGUUAAGCAAUGGGUUCCUUAACGUCACCCUUCCACACGCAGGAACUGUAUGAUGAGCAACACAGCACUUUUCUUCUUGCACAUGCUACAAACGCAACACAACUACCAACACCUCUAUGGAGGCAGCUAUCAAUAUAUUCUCCCCACUGCAGAGAGAGUGCAUGUGCACAAAAGUUAGGCACAAGUGAUUUUCCAAAGAUUAUACCACAAGCAUACAGUAAAAACUUGGUAAUUUCCAGCUCCUAGUUUUAUGCCAUUUCUUCUACACAUUGCUGCCUUGAUGAAAAGAAAAACGUCCUAGAUGUCACAGAUAUUUGAAUCAAAUCAGAAAAGGGGAGUUUGACAACUAUUCAGGAAAAUCUUUCAUUGAAAAAAGAAAACCUUAA